GGAAGAAGCGAAAGUGACGGUACCUGCAGAAAAAGCGCCGGCUAACUACGUGCCAGCAGCCGCGGUAAUACGUAGGGCGCAAGCGUUAUCCGGAAUUAUUGGGCGUAAAGAGCUCGUAGGCGGUUUGUCGCGUCUGCUGUGAAAUCCCGAGGCUCAACCUCGGGCCUGCAGUGGGUACGGGCAGACUAGAGUGCGGUAGGGGAGAUUGGAAUUCCUGGUGUAGCGGUGGAAUGCGCAGAUAUCAGGAGGAACACCGAUGGCGAAGGCAGAUCUCUGGGCCGUAACUGACGCUGAGGAGCGAAAGGGUGGGGAGCAAACAGGCUUAGAUACCCUGGUAGUCCACCCCGUAAACGUUGGGAACUAGUUGUGGGGUCCAUUCCACGGAUUCCGUGACGCAGCUAACGCAUUAAGUUCCCCGCCUGGGGAGUACGGCCGCAAGGCUAAAACUCAAAGGAAUUGACGGGGACCCGCACAAGCGGCGGAGCAUGCGGAUUAAUUCGAUGCAACGCGAAGAACCUUACCAAGGCUUGACAUAUACGAGAACGGGCCAGAAAUGGUCAACUCUUUGGACACUCGUAAACAGGUGGUGCAUGGUUGUCGUCAGCUCGUGUCGUGAGAUGUUGGGUUAAGUCCCGCAACGAGCGCAACCCUCGUUCUAUGUUGCCAGCACGUAAUGGUGGGAACUCAUGGGAUACUGCCGGGGUCAACUCGGAGGAAGGUGGGGAUGACGUCAAAUCAUCAUGCCCCUUAUGUCUUGGGCUUCACGCAUGCUACAAUGGCCGGUACAAAGGGCUGCAAUACCGUGAGGUGGAGCGAAUCCCAAAAAGCCGGUCCCAGUUCGGAUUGAGGUCUGCAACUCGACCUCAUGAAGUCGGAGUCGCUAGUAAUCGCAGAUCAGCAACGCUGCGGUGAAUACGUUCCCGGGUCUUGUACACACCGCCCGUCAAGUCAUGAAAGUCGGUAACACCUGAAGCCGGUGGCCUAACCCUUGUGGAGGGAGCUGUCGAAGGUGGAUCGG
rnacentral:rRNA from 1 species